rnacentral:rRNA from 1 species
CAAUAGCGUAUAUUUAAGUUGUUGCAGUUAAAAAGCUCGUAGUCGGAUUUUGGCUGAGAACGAACGGUCCGCCGUUAGGUGUGCACUGAUUGGUCUCAGCUUCCUGGUGAGGAGGUGUGCUUCACGGCCACUUAGUCACCGUGGUUACUUUGAAAAAAUUAGAGUGCUCAAAGCGGGCUUACGCUUGAAUAUAUUAGCAUGGAAUAACACCAUAGGACUCCUGUCCUAUUUCGUUGGUCUCGGGACGGGAGUAAUGAUUAAGAGGAACAGUUGGGGGCAUUCGUAUUUCAUUGUCAGAGGUGAAAUUCUUGGAUUUAUGAAAGACGAACUUCUGCGAAAGCAUUUGCCAAGGAUGUUUUCAUUGA